rnacentral:misc_RNA from 1 species
GCAAACUUGGUCAUUUAGAGGAAGUAAAAGUCGUAACAAGGUUUCCGUAGGUGAACCUGCGGAAGGAUCAUCAAUGAAUUUCCAAAUUCAUUUGGCUUUGAGUGAAGACUUGUUCGGCAUUUUGCUGGAGAGUUGGUAACCCAUUGCCUUAUCAACCAGUAGUCACUGUCCAGCAACGAAGGUGUCUUCGUGGGGGAUGCUUGUUUCUUUGUAGGCAGGCACCCAAUACACAAGCCCUUUGUGGAAGACUUUGACUUUUUGAGUAGGGUUUUGGUUGGUUCCGCGGUCCCUUCAAACCCAUCAUGGAACUUCUCCAGGUUCCGUGGUUUGUCCCCAUCAAGGAACUUUUUAACCUCUCCCACUCAUUUACUGUGGGCAUCAUAUUUAAUUAAAAUACAACUUUUAACGAUGGAUCUCUUGGCUCCCGCAUCGAUGAAGAACGCAGC